UACGUAGGGGGCUAGCGUUGUCCGGAUUUAUUGGGCGUAAAGAGCGUGUAGGCGGCCAGGUAGGUCUGCUGUGAAAACUCGAGGCUCAACCUCGAGACGUCGGCGGAAACCAUCUGGCUAGAGUCCGGAAGAGGAGAGUGGAAUUCCUGGUGUAGCGGUGAAAUGCGCAGACAUCAGGAGGAACACCCGUGGCGAAGGCGAAUAUCUGGACCGGUUCUGACGCUGAGGAGCGAAAGCUAGGGGAGCAAACUGG
rnacentral:rRNA from 1 species